AGAGUUUGAUCCUGGCUCAGAACGAACGCUGGCGGCGUGCCUAACACAUGCAAGUCGUACGAGAAAUCCUGGGCAACUGGGAAAGUAAAGUGGCGCACGGGUGAGUAACGCGUGGGUAACCUACCCUUGAAUUGGGGAUAACUCUUCGAAAGGGGAGUUAAUACCGAAUAAUAUUCCAAUCCCCCCGGGAAUUGGAAUCAAAGAUGGCCUCUGCAUGCAAGCUAUCAUUUGAGGAUGGGCCCGCGUACCAUUAGCUAGUUGGUAGGGUAAUGGCCUACCAAGGCAACGAUGGCUAGCUGGUCUAAGAGGAUGGCCAGCCACACUGGAACUGAGACACGGUCCAGACUCCUACGGGAGGCAGCAGUGGGGAAUCUUGCGCAAUGGGGGAAACCCUGACGCAGCAACGCCGCGUGGGUGAUGAAGGCCUUCGGGUCGUAAAGCCCUGUCAGGUGGGAAGAAACUUGUGGAUGUUAAUACCAUCCAUGCUUGACGGUACCACCGGAGGAAGCACCGGCUAACUCCGUGCCAGCAGCCGCGGUAAUACGGAGGGUGCAAGCGUUGUUCGGAAUUAUUGGGCGUAAAGCGCGUGUAGGUGGUCGUGUAAGUCAGAUGUGAAAGCCUUCUGCUUAACAGAAGAAGGGCAUUUGAGACUGCUCGACUAGAGUACGGGAGAGGAGAGUGGAAUUCCCGGUGUAGAGGUGAAAUUCGUAGAUAUCGGGAGGAACACCAGUGGCGAAGGCGGCUCUCUGGUCCGAUACUGACACUGA
rnacentral:rRNA from 1 species